UACGAAGGGGGCUAGCGUUGUUCGGAAUCACUGGGCGUAAAGCGCACGUAGGCGGAUUGUUAAGUCGGGGGUGAAAUCCUGAGGCUCAACCUCAGAACUGCCUUCGAUACUGGCGAUCUUGAGUUCGGAAGAGGUUGGUGGAACAGCUAGUGUAGAGGUGAAAUUCGUAGAUAUUAGCUAGAACACCGGUGGCGAAGGCGGCGACCUGGUCCGAUACUGACGCUGAGGCGCGAAAGCGUGGGGAGCAAACAGG
rnacentral:rRNA from 1 species